rnacentral:rRNA from 2 species
AGAGUUUGAUCCUGGCUCAGGAUGAACGCUGGCGGCGUGCCUAAUACAUGCAAGUCGAGCGAACGGACGAGAAGCUUGCUUCUCUGAUGUUAGCGGCGGACGGGUGAGUAACACGUGGAUAACCUACCUAUAAGACUGGGAUAACUUCGGGAAACCGGAGCUAAUACCGGAUAAUAUUUUGAACCGCAUGGUUCAAAAGUGAAAGACGGUCUUGCUGUCACUUAUAGAUGGAUCCGCGCUGCAUUAGCUAGUUGGUAAGGUAACGGCUUACCAAGGCAACGAUGCAUAGCCGACCUGAGAGGGUGAUCGGCCACACUGGAACUGAGACACGGUCCAGACUCCUACGGGAGGCAGCAGUAGGGAAUCUUCCGCAAUGGGCGAAAGCCUGACGGAGCAACGCCGCGUGAGUGAUGAAGGUCUUCGGAUCGUAAAACUCUGUUAUUAGGGAAGAACAUAUGUGUAAGUAACUGUGCACAUCUUGACGGUACCUAAUCAGAAAGCCACGGCUAACUACGUGCCAGCAGCCGCGGUAAUACGUAGGUGGCAAGCGUUAUCCGGAAUUAUUGGGCGUAAAGCGCGCGUAGGCGGUUUUUUAAGUCUGAUGUGAAAGCCCACGGCUCAACCGUGGAGGGUCAUUGGAAACUGGAAAACUUGAGUGCAGAAGAGGAAAGUGGAAUUCCAUGUGUAGCGGUGAAAUGCGCAGAGAUAUGGAGGAACACCAGUGGCGAAGGCGACUUUCUGGUCUGUAACUGACGCUGAUGUGCGAAAGCGUGGGGAUCAAACAGGAUUAGAUACCCUGGUAGUCCACGCCGUAAACGAUGAGUGCUAAGUGUUAGGGGGUUUCCGCCCCUUAGUGC